GGACACAGGAAAACGGCAUUAGUAGUGCCUCAUAAUCCUUUGGUCCACGGUUCGAGUCCGUGUGGGCCCACCA
rnacentral:tRNA from 1 species